AAACCUUCUCCGAAGUUUCUAGGUUUUCCCGGAUGAACAUUGCUUCUUCCGGACAAACCUUCUUUCAGGGAAACUUCUGGAAGAAGUUGUUCUCGAGAGUUACCGGAGAGAGGUUCUUCCGGAUGACCAUUUGUUCUUCCCGAAACUUUUCAAAACUACUUCUUCAGGAAGAUUUGGAAGAAGUUUUUUGGGAAGUUUCCGGAAGAAGUUUUUUGGCUAGAAGAUCCAAACGUUUCAAGUCCGCUUUUCCCCCAUUUUUUAUGACGACGUCUUCUACCCUACGGUUCUUCUAUCCUAGGCUAAAUGCUACAAAACCAUUGUACAUUAAAGGGGAUGAGAGUUAGGGGAGACUAACCUGGACGGCAAAAACGCAGCAACAACAUCAGCGCGAUCGAAAAUGGCAGCAGGAAGGCACGGAGGAGAAGAAGGAGCAGAAGAAGAAAAGAAAGAAGCCAAAAAGGUGGGGGAGGGAGGGAGCUGUGCGUUUUUUAAAUUUUUAUGUUAAGGACAAAAUGAUCCAUUCACUAAAUUCCUGGGUGCACCUAGCAUGUCCCAUGUUUGAUUUGUGUUCCCUGAGGGUGAAGAGAAGGAUGAAGAGAAAGGUUUGAUGGAAGACGAAAAGUGUAUGUGUCGAGUGGAGAAGAGGAAGGCAAUGAAGAAAAUGAAGUGCCUCAACGACCCGGAGGAUGAGAGAAUGCAGAGAGAGAAAGCUUGGAUGGAGAUGAUUAUGAUUAUCCAAAAACAGCAGCAGCAGCAGCAAGAAGAAGAAGAAGAAUACGAAUAUUUGGCAAGGAAACGAGAUCAUCUUAAAGAAGGAACAAUUCAGAGUUAGGUUUACCAACGAGACCUAUCAAAACGACCACCAGCCAAUGUCCAUGUACAAUGCUACAUGCAUUCAUCUCACUGACAGUAUGCACCAUUCGCAGGAUAAUAGACCUACUACAUCCAAUCCCUUACCCCCGGAAUCUGAAUCACACACUUGGAAUGUAGCUCAACAAAUACCCAAUUUCGGAACUGAACGUGUAGCUUUUGUCAGGCGUUAUCCAAGUCUUGGCUUAUGGAGCUAUGUUGCAGACUAAUGGUCAUGACCUUCAAAGGGUUUGAGAUUGUGACAGCAAGACCUUAAAAAUGUCAAUUCAGUAAGUUUUCAAUUUGUUAACUUGAAAAGAUGGAAGGUUGCCAUAUGUGACUUGUUCUCAUGGAACAGCAUGCAAUUUUAUCCACUGUUUUUGUAAUCCUGGUGGAGACUAUUGCUCUAUUUGGUUAUUCUGAUGAUUAUGAGACUUCAAGGGAGCAAGGAAAUUUGAGAUUGUCAGAAACGGAUUCUAACAGGUAACACUCUAGAAGGUCAAGAUCUAGGGAGAUGGAUCGGUUAAAUUGCAGUAAUUCUGGUAGAAGAAAACAGGAAGAUGAAUGAAAGCAAAGAACUCCUGAUAAGGAUUGGAAUGCCAACUUUAAAAGGAAAUCCAGAGGCAGAACUCCUGAUUCUGAUGCUGACAGGGAAUGGUUAGAAAAACAGGAAAAUAGGGAAACGCACUGUGAAUACACUAUGAAUAGCUCAUUUAACAGAAACAGGGAUGACAAUAGCAGAAGCCAUGAAGAAGGUUCUGAUGUGGAUUGGGAUAGGAUGACAGAGAAUGAAGAAACUCAAGAAAGUGGAACAGAGAUAAUAGGGAUAGAGGAGACAAAGAUAUCAGAGUGGCGAUGCUUCUGAAUCUGACAAAGAUGUGCUUGGUAGAGGAAAGAUGAAAACACAACAUGACUCUAGGAAAAGCUCAAGACACAGAAGAUCUGGCCUUCAGGAUGACUAAAAAUACUAUGAGAAUGAAAAUGUCAAAGUUGAUGGAGGAUGGUCUCGGAAGGACUGUUACAAGAGAGAUAUUGAUGUGAUGCACCAACGGCUUUGUAUUUCAUUUCCUUCUUUAUUUCCAAACCAUGCGCUUCUCUGUUAAUAUUUCAACGGCUUUGAUGUGAUGCACCAAAACUACCUUGACAAAGUUUUUUUUUUAUAUGUAUUACAGAAUAAAAUAAACGUGUAUUCUAUAACUGAAAAUAGAUAAUAAUGAUUAUUAAAAAAAACUAUAAUUGUUAGAA